CUGCUCGUGGUGUAGUUGGCAACGCGCAUGUCUAGUGAGUAGGAGUCGUGAGUUCGAGUCUCACCGAGAGGA
rnacentral:tRNA from 1 species